AUUGAACGCUGGCGGCAUGCUUUACACAUGCAAGUCGAACGGCAGCGCGGGCUUCGGCCUGGCGGCGAGUGGCGAACGGGUGAGUAAUACAUCGGAACGUGCCCAGUAGUGGGGGAUAGCUCGUCGAAAGCCGGAUUAAUACCGCAUACGACCUGAGGGUGAAAGCGGGGGAUCUUCGGACCUCGCGCUAUUUGAGCGGCCGAUGGCAGAUUGGCUAGUUGGUGGGGUAAAGGCCUACCAAGGCGACGAUCUGUAGCUGGUCUGAGAGGACGACCAGCCACACUGGGACUGAGACACGGCCCAGACUCCUACGGGAGGCAGCAGUGGGGAAUUUUGGACAAUGGGCGAAAGCCUGAUCCAGCAAUGCCGCGUGUGUGAUGAAGGCCUUCGGGUUGUAAAGCACUUUUGGCGGGAACGAAAAGGACUGUGCCAAUACCACGGUUCGAUGACGGUACCCGCAGAAUAAGCACCGGCUAACUACGUG
rnacentral:rRNA from 1 species